UCUCUUGCACCUCUUUUCACAGUCGAACUCACCUCUUUCUCUUGGUAUUUUUCUCUCUGCAAAUUUAAACAUUUAGCUCUCGAUGUACCUCCAUCAUCUCCUUCUUUUACAGUAAAUCCAUAUCUGGAAGGUGAUAUGAAAGUCAAUACCUCUAUUAUCUUCUUCUUCUACAAUGGAUCCAGAUCCAGAUAAAGCCGAACUCUCCUCUUUCUCUUGCGUUUUCAAUAAUAAAAUCCUUCUGGCGAUUAAUUUGGGGUAGCGGUUUAGUUCAACUGAUGAUGAUGGUAUCAUGGUGGUGAUAAAGUAGAAGAUGACUGAGUUUUCUAUUAAGAUUGCUCGUUACAUUGCUUGUCUGUUUUGUGAGCAUGAAAGGAUCUCUAAUAGGGAAAGAAAUUGAAAGUUCUUGUUGGAUUAGUUUCAGGAGCUGUUUAUUCACUUGAAGUUUUCAUAUCCUCUUAUGUAUUAUGACAUGCUGAUGAUGCAGGAAUUGGGUGUGCUGUGAAAACUGAGAAGCAUUUAUUUCACUUGAUGAAUGAACUUCCAACAAUCUUUGAAGUUGUUACUGUGUAAGACGCAACAAGUUAAGGAGAAAUAUUCAGUGUCAAAUCACAGCAGCAACAAGUCCAGUCUCAUUUCAAAAGCGCAGCAAUUAGGCAGCCACAAGCUGGUAAUAUGUAUGGAUCCAAUGGAGGCUAUGAAGCCCAUAGUCAGCUGCUCAGGAUCCUAACAUGCAUUCUAACCAACGCGGUCCUGGAUAUGGAACUAUCAACA